CGGUGGCGAAGUGGUUAGCGCACUUGCCUUUCACCUCUAAGGCCGCAGGUUCGAAUCUCAAUGAGGACUUCUCAUUGUGACUGGAACCCAGUCCUAAUGUGAAAAGAGUAAGUCAACGCUCUGCCGAAAGUCGUGGGUUUUCUCCGGGUACUCCGUGUUUCCUCCCACAGGGAAAGUUGACAGGGUGGGGUAGGCACAUAAGGUCUGGAGACAGAUCAUUAAUGAGGUAUGGACUAAUAGCGGCUGCUCAAGCGCCAUUUGUAAGCUCAAAGUCUACCUCGGUCUGCUUCACGUCAGUCCCGUUGAUCUAUCUAAUCAUAAUGUAAAACUUCUGCAAUUCAGUGUAUGCUGCCAUGGAAGUUCAAAUAUACUAUUGAAUGACAAAAUACAAACACAAUUUGGAUCAUUCAAAAGGUUUAAAAAACAUGAUUACAAAAUAG